rnacentral:rRNA from 1 species
CAGGAUGAACGCUAGCGACAGGCCUAACACAUGCAAGUCGAGGGGCAGCACAAGGAGCAAUCUGAGGUGGCGACCGGCGCACGGGUGAGUAACACGUAUGCAACCUGCCUGUAAGCGGGGAAUAACCCGUUGAAAGACGGACUAAUACCGCAUAAUACUAAAUUACUGCAUGGUAAUUUAUUUAAACAUUUAUGGCUUACAGAUGGGCAUGCGCAUGAUUAGCUAGUUGGAGAGGUAACGGCUCCCCAAGGCAACGAUCAUUAGGGGUUCUGAGAGGAAGGUCCCCACACUGGUACUGAGACACGGACCAGACUCCUACGGGAGGCAGCAGUGAGGAAUAUUGGUCAAUGGACGAGAGUCUGAACCAGCCAAGUCGCGUGCAGGAAGAAUGUCCUAAUGGAUUGUAAACUGCUUUUGCAGGGGAAUAAAGUGCAUCACGUGUGAUGUUUUGUAUGUACUCUGCGAAUAAGGAUCGGCUAACUCCGUGCCAGCCGCAGC